GUCUUUUUGUAAAUAAUUUAAAGUCUAACCUGCCCACUGAAUUUUUAAAUGGCCGUGGUAUUUUGACCGUGCUAAGGUAGCAUAAUCAUUAGUUUUUUAAUUAAGAACUGGAAUGAAAGGUUGAAUAAGAAAAUAACUGUCUCUAUUAAAUUUAAUUAGAAUUUUAUUUUUAAGUUAAAAAGCUUAAUUAAUAUUAAAAGACGAGAAGACCCUAUAGAGUUUUAUUAUUUAAUAAAAAUUAUAUUUUAGUAUUUAUAUAUUUAAUUUAUUAAAUAAUUUAAUUGGGGUGAUUGAAAAAUUUAUUAAACUUUUUUUAUUUUUUAACAUUUAUUUAUGAUUAAAUGAUCCAUUAUUUUUGAUUAUAAGAUAAAAUUACCUUAGGGAUAACAGCGUAAUUUUUUUAGAGAGUUCAUAUUAAAAGAAAAGAUUGCGACCUCGAUGUUGGAUUAAAAUAAAUUUUUGGUGUAGAAGCUAAAAUAUUAGGUCUGUUCGACCUUUAAAAUUUUAC
rnacentral:rRNA from 1 species